rnacentral:rRNA from 1 species
CAGCAGCCGCGGGAAUACGUAGGGUCCGAGCGUUGUCCGGAAUUAUUGGGCGUAAAGGGCUCGUAGGCGGUUUGUCGCGUCGGGAGUGAAAACCAGCAGCUUAACUGCUGGCCUGCUUUCGAUACGGGCAGACUUGAGGCAUUCAGGGGAGAAAGGAAUUCCUGGUGUAGCGGUGAAAUGCGCAGAUAUCAGGAGGAACACCGGUGGCGAAGGCGGUUCUCUGGGAAUGUUCUGACGCUGAGGAGCGAAAGUGUGGGGAGCGAACAGGAUUAGAGACCCCUGUAGUCCCUGUCUCUUAUAC